rnacentral:rRNA from 1 species
UACGAAGGGGGCUAGCGUUGUUCGGAAUUACUGGGCGUAAAGCGCGCGCAGGCGGUUCUUCAAGUCAGGGGUGAAAGCCCGGAGCUCAACUCCGGAACUGCCAUUGAAACUGUAGAACUUGAGGAUGAGAGAGGUGAGUGGAAUUCCCAGUGUAGAGGUGAAAUUCGUAGAUAUUGGGAAGAACACCGGUGGCGAAGGCGGCUCACUGGCCCGGUACUGACGCUGAGGUGCGAAAGCGUGGGGAGCAAACGGG